GGAAAGUUUGAAAUUGACUUUCUGUUCCACAGAAGGGUGAGUGACUGUAAGAUCAAGAUUCAGCACACGUGUGAGAAUGUGACUCCACUACAGAAAUACAGUUCACAAGAGGGAUUGAGGCUCUCACACAGAUUCAGUCCAGUGUUGAGAUUGUGACUGAUGUACUUAGACACAACACAAAGGGCAUGUUGGCUCUGUUACCUAGAACUGGGACAUGUGCUGGAUUCUUAAUUUAAUCUCUGGACCUUCCUGCAGGAGUGACAGUGACAUGUGUCUCUUUCCAGCACCUGAGUGAUUUGACUCUUUUGCUUGGGGCCUGCCCAAAUAUGAGUUUGUGACAUAUCACUAAAGGUAGCACCUAGGUGAUGUGACUCAUUCUCUUUACUUGGUGCUGGCCAUAAGAGACAUUUUGACAUAUCAUGGGCCUUGCAACCUGGUGGUACGAAUCUUCUCUUCUGUCUUUGUUUUUUUUUUAAGGCGGCAUUGUGACAUAUUGCUGCCCUGCAAAAGGGUUGUGUGACGCUCCUGCCUGUGCCCUGUCCACAUAGACCAUUGUAACAUAUUGUUGGGUCUAACACUUUGGUGAUGUAACUCUCCUGCCUGGUCCCUGCCUACAGAGGACAUUGUGACAUAUUUCUCUGCCCAUCACCCGGUUGAUGUGACUCACUUCUCCUGCCUGGUCUCUGCUCACAGAGGAGAUUGUGACAUAUACCUGGGCCCAGGACCUAGCUAAUUUGUCUUUUGUCUUUUUACAGCUUUCUGCCAACAAGAAAGAUAGUGAUAUAUAAUGGGGUUUAAUUCCAAGGUAUUAAUAAUAUUGCUAUUUUCCCUUGGCCCUGCUCUCAGAUGGAAUUGGGACAUAUUGAUAGGCCCCAGAAGCAAGGCGAUGUGAGUCUCCUGCCUGGAGCCUGUCCACAGAGGGCAUUGCUGCGUAUCUCUGAGCUCAUCAACUAUUUGAUAUGACUCUCCUUUUACUUGAGUUUUUUUAAAUAAAAGAGAUUUUGACAUAUCUGUGGGCCCAGCACCUAGGUGAUGGAACUGUCUUCUGCCUGAGUCACUCCCACAGAUGAGACAGUGACUUAUUUCUUGGACCAGCACACUAGUGAUGUAAUUUUCCUGCCUGAUUUCUGCACACAGAUUUCACUGUGACAUAUCUCUGGCCCCAUCACCUAUAUGAUUUGACAGUCUUCUUUGUUCUGGGACCUCUCCACAGUAGGCAUUGUGAUAUAUCACUUGGCCUAGCAGAGAGCAUUGUGACAUACCCGCGAGCCAAGCACACAGAUGAUGUUAUUCUGCUGCCUGUGCCCUGCUUUCAGGAGUGGAUUGCAAUGUAACACUGGCUGAGUACCCAGGUUAAUGACACUGUUGCCUGGUCCCUGUUCUCAGGGAAGACUGUAAUAGACCCCUGACCCAAUAUCCAGGGGACAUUGUGACAUACUUCUUGGCCAUGAACCCAGGUUAUGUGAGCCUUUCUGUGCCCUGCCCAUGUGGACAAUUGUGACAUAUUACCGAGUCCUACACCCAGGCGAUGCUACUCUCCUGUCUGGUCCUUGCCUACAGGGAACAUUGUGACAUAUCUCUUUGCCAUUCAUCCAGGUUCUGCCCACAGGGAAGAUUGUGGUGAAUUACUGAACGCGAUACCUAGAUGAAGGAGAGACUAUAACAUACCUCUUGGCCCAGCACCUAGUUGAUGUAACUCUGCUCUCCUGCCUGGGCCACACCUACAGAAGAAAGAGUGACUUCUCACUGGGCCAGCACACAGGUCAUGUUAUUUUACUGCCUUGAUCCUUGUCCACAAUAAUCAUUGUACAUAGUUUUGGGCUCUUCUACUAGAAGACGUGCGGGAUGGUUAAAUAUCACUGGACCUAGCACCUAGGGAAUGUGACUCUUGUCUUUUGCAUCAGCCCCACUCGUUUUGAGAACUGUAACAUAUCACUGGGCCAAACACCUAGAAGAUGGGAAGUGUCUGCCUAUGCCCUGCAAACAGGGCUUUAGCCCUACCACUCUCAAGAGCCUCGUGACAUAUCUCUGCAUUCAUCAUCUAGGAGAUGUGACUCCUCCCUGCUGCCUGCGCUCUGCCUACAGGGAAGACCAUAACAACAUUUGGCCCAGCAACACGGUGAUGUGUUUUUUCCCAGGGCCUUGCUCACAGGGAGCAUUGUGACAUAUCACUGGAACCAGCAUCCAGGGCUGUGACUCUGUGUCCUGCUGUUAGAACAGGAUUGUAACAUAUCACUGACCAAGCACCCAGGUGAUGUGACUCUUCUGCCUGGUGCCUGCCUUCAGGGAAAAUUGUGACAUAUGCCUGGCCUAGCACCAAAGUGAUGUGGCUCUCCUGCUACCUCUAUGCACAGGUGGGAUUGUGACAUAUACCUUCAUUCAGCUCAUAGAUGGGUUGGUGAUGCUCAGACAAAUAUUCAGCACACCUGUGAGUCUGCGACUCCAGUAAUCAUCCACAGUCUGCAGGAGAAAUUGAGGCUCUCACCAACAAAUCAAGUGCACAAUUGAGAUUGCGACUCUUGUACUCAGACCCAACAUACAGAAUGUGUUGACUCUCAAUUUUAAAACCAGAACAUGUGUGAGAUUAUUAAUCUGAUCUCUAAACCAUCCUGCAAGUGUGAUUGUGACACAAGUCUCUGUUCAGUACUUGAGUGAUUUGACUCCUUUGCCUGGGCCCAGUCCAAAGAUGUAAUUGUGACAUAUCACUGAAACCAGCAUAUAGGAGAUGUGUCUCCAUACUCCUGCCUUGGUGCUGCCCACAGUGGGCACUGUGACAUAUCACUGGGCCUUGUAUCCAAGUGAUGUAAGUCUCUUCUUUCUUGAUACUGACCACAGGAGACACUAUGACAUAUCCCUGGGCCUCAAGCUCAGCUUAUGUCAUUCUCCUAUUUGUUCUCUGUCCACAUGGGCCAUUGUGACAUACUGCUGAGUUUGGCAUCCAUGUGAUAUAACACUUCAGCCUCAGCUUUGCUCACUUGGGGCAUUGUGAUGUAUCUCUGCACCCAUCACUUAGAUGAUUCAACUCUUUUCUUCUGUCUCAUCUGUGCUUAAAACGGGCAAUUGUUACCUAUUGCUGGGUCCAGCAUGUAGCUGAUGUGUCUCUUCUCAUCUUCCUAAGGACUGCCUGCAGGGGAUAUGGUGACAUUUUACUUUGCCCAGCACCAAGAUGACUUGAAUCUGCUGCCUUUGUUCUACUUUCAGAAGACAUUGUGACAUAUCGCUGGGCCUAGCACCAAGGUGAUGUGAAUCUUCUGCCUGGACCUGCUCACAGAGGGAAUUGUUACAUAUUUUUGACUUCAUCAACUAUUUGAUGUGACUCUCCUCUCUAACCUGGGCCUUGCCCAUAAAAAACAUUGUGGCUUAUCUCUGGGCCCAAAACCUAGGUGAUGUGACUGUCUUCUUAGGGUCAUGCCCACAGUAGAGAGAUGCCUUAUUGCUAAACCCAGCACACAGGUGAGGUGAUUCUUCUGUCUGGUCCCUGCCCACAGGGGUCAUGAUGACAUCUCUCUAAGCCCAUCACCUAGAUUAUGUGAGUUCUCUUUUUCUUCUGUUAGCUAUAUAGAAGAUUGUGACAUAUUGCUUGGCCCAGACCUCAUGUGAUGUGAAUCUCCUCUCAUGCCUUGGUCCUGUUUUUUUUUGGCCGUUGUUGUUUUGUUUUGUUUUUUGAGAUGGAGUCUUGCUCUGUUGCCUAAGCUGGA
rnacentral:lncRNA from 1 species